rnacentral:rRNA from 1 species
AGCUCCAAUAGCGUAUAUUAAAGUUGCUGCAGUUAAAAAGCUCGUAGUUGGAUUUGUGGCGCGGCCGUCCGGCGGGGGGCCAUUUAUUGGUCCCGUUUGUCCUGGUUUUCGGCCUUCCCUUUCUCGGGUCUAGCGUAUUGGCUGGCAUUAGGUUGUCGGCCGCUUCGCGCCCGUCGUUUACUGUGAAAAAAUUAGAGUGUUCAAAGCAGGCUUAGGCCGUUGGAUACAUUAGCAUGGAAUAAUGAGAUAGGGCCACCGCGGUCUAUUUUGUUGGUUUGCACGUUGUGGUAAUGAUUAACAGGAACGGUUGGGGGUAUUCGUAUUCAAUUGUCAGAGGUGAAAUUCUUGGAUUUAUGGAAGACGAACUACUGCGAAAGCAUUUACCAUGGAUGUUUUCAUU